GCAUGUGGUUUAAUUCGACGCAACGCGAAGAACCUUACCAAGGCUUGACAUCCUCUGCUAUCUCUAGAAAUAGAGAGUUCCCAUUUGGGACAGNGAGACAGGUGGUGCAUGGUUGUCGUCAGCUCGUGUCGUGAGAUGUUGGGUUAAGUCCCGCAACGAGCGCAACCCUCAUCGUAUGUUGCCAGCACUUAAAGGUGGGGACUCAUACGAGACUGCCGGUGAAAAACCGGAGGAAGGUGGGGAUGACGUCAAAUCAUCAUGCCCCUUAUGCCUUGGGCUACACACGUGCUACAAUGGCCAGUACAAAGGGCAGCGAAGCCGUGAGGCGGAGCAAAUCUCAAAAAGCUGGUCUAAGUUCGGAUUGCAGGCUGCAACUCGCCUGCAUGAAGUCGGAAUCGCUAGUAAUCGCAGGUCAGCAUACUGCGGUGAAUACGUUCCCGGGCCUUGUACACACCGCCCGUCACACCACGAAAGCCGGAAACACCCGAAGCCGUAAGACAACUUACGUCGAAGGUGGGUCUGGUGAUUGGGGUGAAGUCGUAACAAGGUAGCCGUA
rnacentral:rRNA from 1 species